UGUCCUUGAUAGUCCCUUUUAAUAAUGAUACAUUUUGGACUCGCUAGUGAUAUUGUCAAUUGCAUUGACUUAGUUUUAUUUUUAUUUAUAACAAUAGGUGGGCUAAGUACGUCAUUAGAAUCGUCCUAUUGGCUAAUCGAACUGUCAGUUAACUGAAAAGUAUACCGUCGUCAUUUCUGUAUCUUGUUGUGUUGGUCAGUUUUGCUGUCAAUUUGUUGCGAACAUGAUAAUCGUAGUGCGAUGUUGUUAUAUUACGUUCGAACUGACAUUAGGGAAUACAUACACACGUAUUCAAGAUGUUUCCGUAACAUCAAGAAAAGUAAGUGUGACACACGCUGAGUAGUCAUUUACAUUUUACCUAAGCAUGACGAUGGCUCUCGACACAAUGGCAAACUCGAAGCGCACAUUGAUUUGUGUAAGGUUAGCUAGUUUUCGCGUGAUGGAUAACAUCAUUACCAAACGAUUCGACUUCAUGACUAACUAGCUAACUUAGUUAGUUGCAGCACUAUCAUAGCCAACUUGGGGGAGAGCCAUACAAAACUGUCGAGUCACAGCAAGAAAUUGACAAAGACGUGCGCGCGCUUUGAACACAACAUCAUGGUGAAUAGGAGAAGAGAAGGUGUGAAGCCUGACAUGCCCACCGCUGAGGAGCGCCAGGAGAUGCUAGGCUGCCUUUUGAAGCAAGCCCUUCUGAGCCACUGGCAAGACCAUGCAGAAGAAAACACUGGAGUGGUGUGUGGAUCACCCUUUCCAUGAAAGCUCUGGGACAGACACUUUCUUUAUGAAGAUCUGAGUAAUCCUCCACACACCUCACCAUUAUGAAAGCCGACCGUAGCCCAAGAGGUGCCGCUGCAGGCUGAUGAUGGCACUGGAAUCUGUCAAGUACCGAUAUCAAUUUUAAAACACUACAGUAUGCCCAGUGGUGAAGUGCUAUUUCUUUAGGUGCGGGAGCUUAGUUUUUUGAUUGAUUUGAGAUAAAAUGAUUGGCAUGCAGUUUGGACAUUAAUGGUAAGUAAUGUAUUAUGUCAUUUUGGAGUCACUUAUGUUUCUAAACACUUCUACAUUAAUGUGAAUGCUACCAUGAUUACUGAUA